UACGAAGGGGGCUAGCGUUGCUCGGAAUCACUGGGCGUAAAGGGUGCGUAGGCGGAUUGUUAAGUCAGGGGUGAAAUCCUGGAGCUCAACUCCAGAACUGCCUUUGAUACUGGCGAUCUUGAGUCCGGGAGAGGUGAGUGGAACUGCGAGUGUAGAGGUGAAAUUCGUAGAUAUUCGCAAGAACACCAGUGGCGAAGGCGGCUCACUGGCCCGGUACUGACGCUGAGGUGCGAAAGCGUGGGGAGCAAACAGGG
rnacentral:rRNA from 1 species